rnacentral:rRNA from 1 species
GAUGAACGCUAGCGGCAGGCCUAAUACAUGCAAGUCGAACGGGUGGUCGCAAGACCACUAGUGGCGCACGGGUGCGUAACGCGUAACCAACCUGCCCCGAUCUGGGGGAUAGCCCGCCGAAAGUCGGAUUAAUACCGCAUAUACCCGCAGCCUGGCAUCAGGCAACGGGGAAAGAUUUAUUGGAUCGGGAUGGGGUUGCGUGACAUUAGCUAGUUGGCGGGGUAAGGGCCCACCAAGGCGACGAUGUCUAGGGGACCUGAGAGGGUGAUCCCCCACACUGGCACUGAGAUACGGGCCAGACUCCGACGGGAGGCAGCAGUAGGGAAUAUUGGGCAAUGGGCGAGAGCCUGACCCAGCCAUGCCGCGUGCCGGAUGAAGGCCUUCUGGGUUGUAAACGGCUUUUCUCAGGGAAGAAAAAGACCUUGCGAGGUAAACUGACGGUACCUGAGGAAUAAGCACCGGCUAACUCCGUG